rnacentral:rRNA from 1 species
GAAUCUUCCGCAAUGGACGAAAGUCUGACGGAGCAACGCCGCGUGAGUGAUGAAGGUUUUCGGAUCGUAAAGCUCUGUUGUUAGGGAAGAACAAGUGCGAGAGUAACUGCUCGCACCUUGACGGUACCUAACCAGAAAGCCACGGCUAACUACGUGCCAGCAGCCGCGGUAAUACGUAGGUGGCAAGCGUUGUCCGGAAUUAUUGGGCGUAAAGGGCUCGCAGGCGGUUUCUUAAGUCUGAUGUGAAAGCCCCCGGCUCAACCGGGGAGGGUCAUUGGAAACUGGGAAACUUGAGUGCAGAAGAGGAGAGUGGAAUUCCACGUGUAGCGGUGAAAUGCGUAGAGAUGUGGAGGAACACCAGUGGCGAAGGCGACUCUCUGGUCUGUAACUGACGCUGAGGAGCGAAAGCGUGGGGAGCGAACAGGAUUAGAUACCCUGGUAGUCCACGCCGUAAACGAUGAGUGCUAAGUGUUAGGGGGUUUCCGCCCCUUAGUGCUGCAGCUAACGCAUUAAGCACUCCGCCUGGGGAGUACGGUCGCAAGACUGAAACUCAAAGGAAUUGACGGGGGCCCGCACAAGCGGUGGAGCAUGUGGUUUAAUUCGAAGCAACGCGAAGAACCUUACCAGGUCUUGACAUCCUCUGACAACCCUAGAGAUAGGGCUUUCCCUUCGGGGACAGAGUGACAGGUGGUGCAUGGUUGUCGUCAGCUCGUGUCGUGAGAUGUUGGGUUAAGUCCCGCAACGAGCGCAACCCUUGAUCUUAGUUGCCAGCAUUUAGUUGGGCACUCUAAGGUGACUGCCGGUGACAAACCGGAGGAAGGUGGGGAUGACGUCAAAUCAUCAUGCCCCUUAUGACCUGGGCUACACACGUGCUACAAUGGACAGAACAAAGGGCUGCGAGACCGCAAGGUUUAGCCAAUCCCAUAAAUCUGUUCUCAGUUCGGAUCGCAGUCUGCAACUCGACUGCGUGAAGCUGGAAUCGCUAGUAAUCGCGGAUCAGCAUGCCGCGG